ACAAUUCUUCAGGGCGGGGUGUGAUUCCCCACCGGCGGUAAAGUCCGCGAGCUUUUUGCUGAAUAGGUGAAAUUCCUAUACCGACAGUAUAGUCUGGAUGAGAGAAGAUAUUU
rfam:Anaerococcus vaginalis ATCC 51170 genomic scaffold SCAFFOLD1, whole genome shotgun sequence.